rnacentral:rRNA from 1 species
GUGGGGAAUAUUGGACAAUGGGGGGAACCCUGAUCCAGCCAUGCCGCGUGUGUGAAGAAGGCCUUUUGGUUGUAAAGCACUUUAAGCGAGGAGGAGGCUACCGAGAUUAAUACUCUUGGAUAGUGGACGUUACUCGCAGAAUAAGCACCGGCUAACUCUGUGCCAGCAGCCGCGGUAAUACAGAGGGUGCAAGCGUUAAUCGGAUUUACUGGGCGUAAAGCGCGCGUAGGUGGCCAAUGAAGUCAAAUGUGAAAUCCCCGGGCUUAACUUGGGAAUUGCAUUCGAUACUGGUUGGCUAGAGUAUAGGAGAGGAUGGUAGAAUUCCAGGUGUAGCGGUGAAAUGCGUAGAGAUCUGGAGGAAUACCGAUGGCGAAGGCAGCCAUCUGGCCUAAUACUGACACUGAGGUGCGAAAGCAUGGGGAGCAAACAGGAUUAGAUACCCUGGUAGUCC